CCCCACUUGGCCAGCCAGAGAUUGGUCUGGUCCGCUGGGGGGAAUGUUGAUUUAGGAUGUGUUGGGCAGAACACAGAAAGCCUUUUCUAAUCCAUUCUCAAUUUUACACCCUAUAAAUCCUUCUGGUUACAUCUGGUCCUAUCUCGGAGGAGACACAAAGAUUCAGAAUGAUUAAAUCCAGUGAUUUUUUUUUUUUUUUUUUUAAUGCCUGGCUCCUGGAACCAAAAUAAAAAGAAUAGCCAAAUACUUCACAUCUAUGUCCAAAUCCCCUUAAUAACUAAAAAACAUACUUAUUUUCUUAAAGAAAGAGAAUUGAAAGAGAAAAUGAUUUUCAUGAGUUACAAUUUCUAAUUUUUAGACACUGCCAUUGGAUCAGAUGGUUAAAUCCAAGCUGCCUGUUAGCUGCUGCCCUGAUAUGAUCCGAGUGUGAUGUCAUCCUCUCAGGAUCAAUGGAGACGGACAUCACUUCAGAAGAUCUCAAUAACACAGUGGGGAUGCAAGAUCUUUGGCUGACACUUUGGAGGAAAACGAAUUCUGAAUUUGGGACAAGGCCAGGACAAGUGACAGUUUCAGUUCCCCCAUCAUUUCAGCCAGUGCUUCUGUGACAUGCCAGUGUGGUUGGGAAAGUGUCCAACUUGAAGUACUGAGCCACUGCAGAAAGAUGUGGACUCACACACCCCUUGGUCAAAUGGAAGUGCUUUGUCUGGACAUUAAGUCACUUGAUGCUGCUGCUGUGUACGAUGGGGACAGUAACAUCUCCGAUCACAAAAUCAAAAAUGCCCCGCACUCCUCCACAUUACGGAGGGAUCCUAGGAAUACAAGGUUCCUCAGUGGAGAGUGUCUAGGAGACCUGUGUACUAUGACAACAUUCAUCUCUCCAGCAUGGCAAGGAGGCCAUACUAGGAUGAAAGUGUGGGGACUACCAGCCCAAGUACCUCCGCAGCCCACUGUCAACAUGCUAGUAUUUUUUUUAAAUCUUCAUUGUUUUUGUUUAUUCAUUUAUCGUAUGUGGUCAUGGAUGUAUAUGAGUGUGCGUGUAUGUAGCACAUGUAUGGAGGACAGCAAGCAAGAAUCUCUUCUCUCCUACCAUGUGGGUUUGGGGGUGGAACUCAGGGCAUCAGGUUUGACAGAGAGUUCCUUCACGAAUGGAGCCACCUGGCUGGUCUGACAUUCCAGAGCUGAUGCUAUGAGCAAAUGAUGGUUUCAGUGCCCACGUUCAUGACUUAGGAUACUUGCUUGGCCUGUCUUAUGGCAUUCUGAUGACUCUCCAAUGGGAAAAUGUGGGUGAAGGUGUCAAAGAAGCUGGAACGUGUGAUGACAGCAUCGUUGGUGACAGCAAACUGACAUUUAUCUAGUGGUUAUCCUAUCACGGAGAGUGCUGAAAGCCCUUGGAAUAUUUUUUAACUCAUUUCGUCCAUGAGCAGGCACCAUUCAUUCUUCUGGUUUUCUGAUGAAGGAAAUGAAAGGCCAACAUGGGAGAGUGAUUUGUUUAAACAUUCCCUUGGUUGGCUGGUACACAGUAGAGGGAGUACCAACUGGUCACCUACAGACUUCCCUAACUUUCCAUGGGUCCGACAAGGGGACUACUAUUUUGUUGUUGUUAAAUGAUCACUUCUAGGGUCCUUAGUAAUUCACAUACGCCUUCAUUAAUUUAAAUGAUUUGAAGGUGAGUAAAUGGACCUAAGAGUGCCAGUGAACUAAACAGCACCUGCUUUUAACAAUUUAAAGUACCCGAUGGGAUUGCAGAAGCCACAUCUCCUUAUGGCCUAGAGAUGUACAGCUACCAAAGGUUCUGAAAAUUAAACUGCUUUUCAGUGACCAA